rnacentral:rRNA from 1 species
GACGAACGCUGGCGGCGUGCUUAACACAUGCAAGUCGAGCGGUAAGGCCCUUUCGGGGGUACACGAGCGGCGAACGGGUGAGUAAACACGUGGGUGACCUGCCCUCAGCUCUGGGAUAAAGCCUGGGAAACCGGGUCUAAUACCGGAUAUGACUCCAUGACGCAUGUUGUGGGGUGGAAAGCCUUGUGCGGCUGAGGAUGGGCCCGCGGCCUAUCAGCUUGUUGGUGGGGUGAUGGCCUACCAAGGCGACGACGGGUAGCCGGCCUGAGAGGGCGACCGGCCACACUGGGACUGAGACACGGCCCAGACUCCUACGGGAGGCAGCAGUGGGGAAUCUUGCGCAAUGGGCGAAAGCCUGACGCAGCGACGCCGCGUGAGGGAUGACGGCCUGGUGUAACGUACUUCUA